rnacentral:rRNA from 1 species
UACGUAGGCAGCAAGCGUUGUUCGGAGUUACUGGGCGUAAAGGGUGCGUAGGUGGCUCUAUAAGUAUGGUGUGAAAUCUCCCGGCUUAACUGGGAGGGUGUGCCGUAGACUGUGGGGCUAGAGUGUGGGAGAGGAAAGUGGAAUUCCUGGUGUAGCGGUGAAAUGCGUAGAUAUCAGGAGGAACACCGGUGGUGUAAACGGCUUUCUGGACCAUAACUGACACUGAGGCACGAAAGCGUGGGUAGCAAACAGG